AUUGAACGCUGGCGGCAGGCCUAACACAUGCAAGUCGAACGGUAACAGGGAUCAGCUUGCUGAUUCGCUGACGAGUGGCGGACGGGUGAGUAAUGUCUGGGAAACUGCCUGAUGGAGGGGGAUAACUACUGGAAACGGUAGCUAAUACCGCAUAACGUCGCAAGACCAAAGAGGGGGACCUUCGGGCCUCUUGCCAUCGGAUGUGCCCAGAUGGGAUUAGCUAGUAGGUGGGGUAACGGCUCACCUAGGCGACGAGCCCUAGCUGGUCUGAGAGGAUGACCAGCCACACUGGAACUGAGACACGGUCCAGACUCCUACGGGAGGCAGCAGUGGGGAAUAUUGCACAAUGGGCGCAAGCCUGAUGCAGCCAUGCCGCGUGUAUGAAGAAGGCCUUCGGGUUGUAAAGUACUUUCAGCGGGGAGGAAGGGAGUAAAGUUAAUACCUUUGCUCAUUGACGUUACCCGAAGAAGAAGCACCGGCUAACUCCGUG
rnacentral:rRNA from 1 species